rnacentral:rRNA from 1 species
UUGGCAACGAGGGUAGUCGUGUACAUCGCCUUGUUCUUAGGCUUCGUCCUGACCUUGGGCAUGACCCUGCUACGCCACGUUUGGGGGUACAUGUACAACAACGAGCAAGAGGUCGUGGCAUACAUUGCCAAGAUGCUGCCAGUUCUUGGGAUAUCUUUCUUCAUAGACGGCCUUCACGGAUCUCUCUCGGGUGUGCUCACGGGCUGCGGCAAGCAAAAGAUCGGCGCCACGGUGAACCUCGGCGCGUUCUACCUGGCAGGCAUCCCUAUGGCGGUGCUGCUAGCAUUUGUCUUCCAUCUCAAUGGAAUGGGCCUUUGGCUCGGCAUCGUCUGUGGCAGCCUCAUCAAAGUGCUCUUGUUUGCAUCUGUCACAUGGACCAUAGACUGGAGCAUGGAAGUAAGUAGAGAACACUGA